rnacentral:rRNA from 1 species
AUUUUACCAAUUAAGAAGAAUAUUAUAAUAAUGGGUGUCUUAUAUUUUAAAUAAAUAUUUAAAUUCCGUGUAGUAAAUUUAUUAUUUGUAUUAUUUAUAUAAUAGGUGUAUUAUAUUUAAAUUUUAAAUUUGUUGUUUUAUAUUUAGAUACAUAUUUAUAGAUUAAUAUAUUUAAAUAAUAUUUUAAAAUUUAUUGAACUGUAAUGUUACAGUUGUAUGUACCAAAUAAAUAUAGUAAGAUUAUUUUAGUUGAAUUAAUAAAUAAAUAUUUAUUUUUCUUUGUAAAUAUUAUGAACAAUUUAAUUAACUAAAAUGUUUGAAUAUUUAUUUUUAUAUUUUUAGUAGGUAAAUGAAAAGUAUAAAUGGAUAUAACUUAAUAUUUAAUAUUUGUUUAAUGAAAAGUAUUUUAUAUUGUAUAGUAUUAUUAUAGUGUAUAGUUUUUUAAAAAUAUAGUUAAAUAAAGUAUGAAUUAAUAUCAAAAUUUUAAUAAAAAUUAAAAAAUUAAAAUAGGGCAAGUCCUACUCUCCUUUACAAAGAGAACAUUAUAUGUAAUUGUAUGUUUGAUUGGGGCAAUACUAUAUUUAUUUAUAUAGCAUAAGAACUAUAUUCUUUGAAAUUAUAAAAGGAGCAGGUUAACAAGCAUGUGUUUCAUCGUCUCGUUGUAAAGCAGAUUUGUAUAUUUAAUUUUUAUAAUUAAUAAUAAUUAAUAUAAGUACGCAAGGAUUGAUUAUUGAAAAAAGAAAGAAGAAUAUAAUUUA